AACGCACCUUGCGCCCCUUGGUAUUCCGAUGGGCAUGCCUGUUUGAGUGUCAUUAAAUUCUCAACCUUACCAGCUUUGUCUGUUGUAAGGCUUGGAUGUGAGGGCUUGCCGGCUUCCUUCAGUGGAUGGUCAGCUCCCUUCAAAUGCAUUAGUGGGUUCCGUUGUGGACGGUCACUUGGUGUGAUAAUUAUCUACGCCGCUCGACUGUGAAGCAAGACUUUAUGGAUGCCUGCUCAUAACCGUCCUCUCUGGACAAUGCUCUUGACAAAUUUGACCUCAAAUCAGGUAGGACUACCCGCUGAACUUAA
rnacentral:misc_RNA from 1 species